AUACCCCGAUUCUCCGACACAAGUUAAUUAUCAUUUAAUUGGUUAAGUGAUGAUUAUAAGGCAUAUUGAUAUUGGAUUAUAUUAAUCUAAGAAGGAUUAUUAGUAAGAGUUAGUGGAGUGGUUAGAAUAAGAUAGAUUAUUGGAAUUGAACCAAGUGGCAAGGUGGUAAUUUUCACUCAAUUGGAGGGCUUAAUGGACUUAUGUAUUGCUUGCAUGUGGACAUAAUGGACAUUGGACUUUAAGUGCAUGAGCUUAAGUGUUGUUUGGCUUACACAUCAGAUUUUUAUGGUUGAAGUGGAGCAAGAGAAGCUUAUGUUCUUCCUCAUCACCUUCAUUUUCGCAACAUUUUGGCAGCCCUCACUAAACUGAUCAUAACUCUCUGCUCACAGCUCCGAUUGAGGUGUAAAGUGGAAUACGGGUUUGAUGAAUUUGGAGUUGAAGUUUUGGUCAAGUUAGGAGCUCAAUUGCAGCAUGUUCAUCAUCCAAAGCUCCAUUGAUGCAAGGUGCAGUUUAGUAGCUUUUGAUAGAUAGCCGGUUCGGAUUGAUGGCUUGAAGUGGUGUCGGCUCGAAGUCCUCGUUGAUUUUGACAUUCCGCUGUGCAAGAUCCAUUGAAGACCCGUGUAUUAUGCUACUUAGUAGAAUUUCAUGUUGUAUUUUAUAUGGAUCAAAUAUUGUACCUUGACUUGUGU